GAUUACACACCAGGUUGGUUCGUGUCCUCCUCCUCCUCUUCCUCCCCCCUCCUCCAGGUCCAGGCUGUGGGAGGAUUACACUCUGUGUUGUCUCUCCACACCGGCAGCUUCCUCUGACCCAUCGGUUGGUUGAGGACCUGGUUGAGGACCUGGUUGAGGACCUGGUGAGGACCUGGUUGAGGACCUGGUUGAGGACCUGGUAAGGACCUUGUGAGGACCUGGUGAGGACCUGGUGAGGACCUGGUUGAGGACCUGGUUGAGGACCAUGGGUUUCCUCUCGUCCGUCCGAGACCGAGCUGAGAAGUUCCUGAACGAGAAGAACGUGGUGACAGAUUUCCUGGGGAAGUUGGAGGAGAAGACAGGAAUAAAGAAGAAGAUCAUCGCAGCAGGCGCCGUCUCGCUGACCGGACUCUACCUGGUGUACGGAUAUGGAGCCUCCCUCGUCUGCAACCUGAUCGGCUUCGCCUAUCCGGCGUAUUUUUCAAUCAAAGCCAUCGAGAGUCCGAGCAAAGAAGACGACACAAAAUGGCUGACGUACUGGGUGGUGUACGGCGUCUUCAGCCUGGGCGAGUUCUUCUCCGACAUCUUCCUCUACUGGUUUCCAUUUUACUACGCCUUCAAGUGUCUCUUCCUGUUGUGGUGCAUGGCCCCCACGGCGUGGAACGGCUCCCAGUUCAUCUACAACAAAAUGGUCCGGCCCGUCUUCCUCCGCCACGAGGCCACGGUGGACAACAUGGUGAGCGACCUGAGCGGGAAGGCCAUGAGCGCCGCCGAGCACCUCACCAGAGAAGGUACGGACGGGUCCCUGGGAGGCGUCGUGUCGCAGCAGCUCCAAGCUUCACGACGCGUCACAGUGACCACUAACCUCUGUUUGCUCCGCCCCCUCGUCAGUCCUGACCACGCUGGUGAGGAACAAAUCUGUGGUGACUCCGGCGCCGGCCGUCACUCAGUCUGAGGCCCUGAGUUUACCGAGCUCGUCGACGGAGCCAUCGGCUGCUAAAAGAGCUUCGUCACAACCGAGUGAAGAACGACCGCCGUUCCUGGGUUAACGGCAGGUAAGUCAACUGUCGUCACUGUGCUGAGGAGCCAAUCAGCUCUGUGAAGGUUCAGAGACAGAGACCCGAUCAGACCUGUAGCCCCGCCCCUCCACACACCUCCACCUUCCUCACCUGCUGCUCCUCUACCUCACUGAUCUGCUCUCUGGUGACGGAAGCACCACAGAGGACGAUUCACAGGAAGUGGAGCGACGGGUUUCCUGUUAGUUUGUGAUUGGUUAUCAGCAGAGUGUGAUGUGACCUUGUUCUUUUAAUGUUUCCUGUUUGUCUGUCGUCAGGAGGAAGUCAGUGUAGACUGACGGUAAGUCACAGACGUGACCAGUCGAAAACUUUACUUUUCUACUGUUUCCUGUUUGUAAGAAAGUAGAAAUACUCACAGCAGUAAAAGUGCAGAAGUUUCAACAUCAACUUAAGUACCAAAAGUAAAAGAAUUCACCAUACAGAGAUCAAUAACGUGUUAAUAUCUGUACAGUGUACUGAUCAGAUAAUAUGUGAUCAGAACACUGAUGAUAAAUGUGACGAGAGGAUUCAGUCCACAUGAUCAAACUCAGAAUCUUCAGAAAUUUAACAUAGUUAAAAUAUGAAUCAAACCAUAAGUGAAAAUCAUAAUUAAAAACACAUUUGUUUUUUGUUGACGCUUUUUUUACACUUUCCUAUUAAUGUUUUUAUUAUUAAUUAAUUGAUAAAAUAAUUCCUCAGCAGGUUCUCUCUGGAUUUUCAGUCCUUCAGGUAGCAGCAGAGGAAGGGGAGGGGCCAGAGAAGGGAAGAGGAGGAGUCAGAGAGAGGAAGCAUCAUCCUCCUGCCGCUGAUUCCUGUGACAUCACAUCACUUCUGUCUCUGCACCAAACUGCAAAAUACGACUCUGCACAAACAGUUUCUUAUUUAUUUAUUUAUUUAUCUAUUCAUAUUUGUGGAUGUUUUUUUAGAAGGGAAGCAUCUGGAACCAUUUUCUAACAAACUCACUGGUUCACGUUUAUCAGGCUGCAGAUUCUCCACCAGGGGGCGAUGUGUGUGUGUGUGUGUGUGUGUGUGUGUGUGUGCGUGUGUAUGUGUGUGUGUGUGUUUGUGUGUGUCCGCAUGUGUGUGCGUGUGUUUGUGCCUGGAUGCUUGUUUUUCAUCAUGUUAUUUAUUACUUUGUUGUUUUGUUAAUGAAACAUGAUAUUUUGACCUCAAUCAAUAUGAAAAUAUCAUUAUGAGAUAAAGAAAUAAAAAUCAGAUUAAAACUA